rnacentral:rRNA from 1 species
GAGUGAACGCUGGCGGUAGGCCUAACACAUGCAAGUCGAACGGCAGCACAGUAAGAGCUUGCUCUUACGGGUGGCGAGUGGCGGACGGGUGAGGAAUACAUCGGAAUCUACUUUUUCGUGGGGGAUAACGUAGGGAAACUUACGCUAAUACCGCAUACGACCUACGGGUGAAAGCAGGGGAUCUUCGGACCUUGCGCGAUUGAAUGAGCCGAUGUCGGAUUAGCUAGUUGGCGGGGUAAAGGCCCACCAAGGCGACGAUCCGUAGCUGGUCUGAGAGGAUGAUCAGCCACACUGGAACUGAGACACGGUCCAGACUCCUACGGGAGGCAGCAGUGGGGAAUAUUGGACAAUGGGCGCAAGCCUGAUCCAGCCAUACCGCGUGGGUGAAGAAGGCCUUCGGGUUGUAAAGCCCUUUUGUUGGGAAAGAAAGGCAGCAGGUUAAUACCCCGCUGUUCUGACGGUACCCAAAGAAUAAGCACCGGCUAACUUCGUG